CAAUGUGGCAAAUACUUCGAGCAGAAAGGAGUUUUGGGAGGAUAUGUUGACUAAACGUGCCAUGGGCUCUGACUGAUCAAACUGCAGAGUAGAGUAAGAAAGCAGUAGGCUUGAGAUGCCAGAAAAAGAGAGAAGCUGAAAUUAAAGAGAAGAAUGAACAUAUUCGUUCAUCCUUGUAACACUGGACAUGGGCUGGGCUGUACAAUACCAACUACUUUUGAAACUACUAUUGGUGACCAUCAAUUAUUACCAGACAUGCUAGUAGAAUUCAGUACUGAACCUUUAAAUUUUUCUUUCAAUUUACUGAAAGCUUCAUAUAGGUAACUUCACAUUUGUUUUCCCUCUUGUGUCUUUAGAAGGUAAUUGCUAUCUGACUUCAGAACAUAUGCAUGACUUCAGGAUUCUUCCACAGAUAUUUCUUGUACCACUCACAGUUCUAAGACUGCACGUAAAGCAAUUCUACAGGCCAAUGGUUGCCAAUUAAUUCCUUAGGUUACUGUAAAAAAAAUGGAAGUUU